UACGUAGGGGGCUAGCGUUGUCCGGAAUCAUUGGGCGUAAAGCGCGUGUAGGCGGCCCGGUAAGUCCGCUGUGAAAGUCGGGGGCUCAACCCUCGGAAGCCGGUGGAUACUGUCGGGCUCGAGUACGGAAGAGGCGAGUGGAAUUCCUGGUGUAGCGGUGAAAUGCGCAGAUAUCAGGAGGAACACCAAUUGCGAAGGCAGCUCGCUGGGACGUAACUGACGCUGAGACGCGAAAGCGUGGGGAGCGAACAGG
rnacentral:rRNA from 1 species